UUGAGACAAAACCUACGCCUUUGGAGUAGAUGUAACGCGUUACUACCCACCUCUGCGGACAAAUACAACAAGUGGUUGUUGAAGACUUGUAAGAUAUCUCAAGAUUGCAGCUUUUAAAGACACGUUACAAUGAAAGACCAACAGUGACCAGGAUAGAAAAGGAAGUCAUUUGCAGACACUAAGCCUAGACUGUCUGAAAAUACUCAUGGUCAAGUUCAGGAACCCGUAGAGCAUCUGUUCAUUCAUCUCACAUACAAUAACAGACGUGACCUUGUGGACUUGGCUGUCAUCUCCAGAGGCAAACACACAUUUUGAGCUUCAAGGACCUGUUCUGCUGCAACGAGCAAGUCAACAAAGUAUCUCUUACCCUCUCAGCAAGUAACCGAGAAGAUAGACGGAGAGACUUGAAGUUCUUCCGUCUUCCGAGAGACCCGGAGAGGACAGCGAGAUGGACUGCUGCAAUUCGACGAGAAAACUGGGCACCAAACAAUCACCACAGACUAUGUAGUAGUCAUUUUAUACCUGCCUUUCAAAAGAGACAACAUCUACUGAGCGAGAACCAAGGACUGAAAAUGUGGACCAUGAAACACCGAAGAGCACUGCCAAAAUGGCUUUUGUUGCUACACCAGGGAGAGUGGUCUGAGGCUUUUUGGAUUUCCAAAAGAAACUGAUCACCGCAAAGAAUGGGAAAAACAAGUCCAACAAUCUAGAGACCGUUGGAUGGAUGACGAACUCUCUUAGGCACUAAAGCAACAAUUCAGAUGUUCCAGCAGUCAUUUGAUAUGUCCCAGUGGCCUGGUGAUGAUUCCAAACCACUUCAACAGUCAAGUCAAAUUGGCUCAACAUUUCCUUAUCAGCCUCAAUUCUUUGCACAAUGUUGACAUACAAAGUCAUAGCUCUGGAGAAUUACAGGAAAUGGAAAAUAGACCUGACUGGUGUCAAGUGUACUCAUUUAGACACAAAAACACAUCAUUACAUAAAACUGAUAAGUGAUGGAGAAUUGGAAUGAUUUAUACACAGGACCGCAAGCAUAUUGCCUCCAUACGCAGUUGCACACUUG